GACGAACGCUGGCGGCGUGCUUAACACAUGCAAGUCGAACGGAAAGGCCCUGCGUUUGUGGGGUGCUCGAGUGGCGAACGGGUGAGUAACACGUGAGUAACCUGCCCUUGACUUUGGGAUAACUUCAGGAAACUGGGGCUAAUACCGGAUAGGAGCUCCUGCUGCAUGGGGGGGGUUGGAAAGUUUCGGCGGUUGGGGAUGGACUCGCGGCUUAUCAGCUUGUUGGUGGGGUAGUGGCUUACCAAGGCUUUGACGGGUAGCCGGCCUGAGAGGGUGACCGGCCACAUUGGGACUGCGAUACGGCCCAGACUCCUACGGGAGGCAGCAGUGGGGAAUAUUGCACAAUGGGCGGAAGCCUGAUGCAGCAACGCCGCGUGCGGGAUGACGGCCUUCGGGUUGUAAACCGCUUUCGCCUGUGACGAAGCGUGAGUGACGGUAAUGGGUAAAGAAGCACCGGCUAACUACGUG
rnacentral:rRNA from 1 species